ACGGUGAAGCCCUUCGGGGUGGAUCAAGUGGCGAACGGGUGAGUAACACGUGGGCAAUCUGCCCUGCACUCUGGGACAAGCCCUGGAAACGGGGUCUAAUACCGGAUAUGACCUUCCUCCGCAUGGGGGKGGGUGUAAAGCUCCGGCGGUGAAGGAUGAGCCCGCGGCCUAUCAGCUUGUUGGUGGGGUGAUGGCCUACCAAGGCGACGACGGGUAGCCGGCCUGAGAGGGCGACCGGCCACACUGGGACUGAGACACGGCCCAGACUCCUACGGGAGGCAGCAGUGGGGAAUAUUGCACAAUGGGCGAAAGCCUGAUGCAGCGACGCCGCGUGAGGGAUGACGGCCUUCGGGUUGUAAACCUCUUUCAGCAGGGAAGAAGCGCAAGUGACGGUACCUGCAGAAGAAGCACCGGCUAACUACGUGCCAGCAGCCGCGGUAAUACGUAGGGUGCGAGCGUUGUCCGGAAUUAUUGGGCGUAAAGAGCUCGUAGGCGGCCUGUCGCGUCGGAUGUGAAAGCCCGGGGCUUAACCCCGGGUCUGCAUUCGAUACGGGCAGGCUAGAG
rnacentral:rRNA from 2 species